rnacentral:rRNA from 1 species
UACUGCUCAGUAACACGUGGACAACCUACCCUCAGCACGGGGAUAAACCCGGGAAACUGGGUAUAAUACCCGAUAGUUCUGGUUAGCUGGAAUGCUACCAGGACGAAAGCUCCGGCGACUGAGGAUGGGUCUGCGGCCUAUCAGGUAGUAGUGGGUGUAAUGUACCUACUAGCCUACGACGGGUACGGGUUGUGAGAGCAAGAGCCCGGAGAUGGAUUCUGAGACAU